ensembl:rRNA 5S_rRNA 5S ribosomal RNA
GACAUUUGGUAGAGACUGUUGAAGCCACCUGGUCCCAGCAGACCCCUGAAGGCGGCCACAUUUGCUGGUGCUGGGGCAAGGUCGUUGAGGGUGAAGCCUGGUGCCAGAUGUGU